UUUAGUCAUGAACUUGUAAGUUGUACUUCCUUUCCCUGCGCUGUAAACUUGAGUAAAGCGGCUUUUCAGCCCAUCCGACUCAAUCUACAGCCAUCGAUCGGGAAUGACCGCCGAGAUGACCGAACCGAUGACCGUGAGAGGGACCUUGAAGGGCCACAACGGCUGGGUGACCCAGAUCGCCACGACGCCGCAGUUUCCGGACAUAAUUCUGUCCGCUUCCCGAGGUGACAGACGAAUCUGAUUAUCCCGCGCAGCUGCUGUACGAAGAUCAUUUACCGUGGUAUUUCCAAGAAUGGCAGUCCAAGGAACUUUAAUAAAUACCAUGAUAAUACUGUGUUACCAUGUUCUUGGACGAGAGUCACACCGAGUGGGUUUCCUAUAACAGCAGUAACCCCAUCAUCGUCUCCUGCGUCUGGGACAAGAUGGUCAAGGUUCCUGAACACCGUCAGCGUCUCUCCUGAUGGGUCCCUCGGUGCCUCUGGUGGAAAGGAUCUGGAGGGAAAGAUCAUCGUUGAUGAGCUCAGACAGGAAGUCAUCACCAGAGGUGUCAAGUAACGAAGUACAAAUACUUCGUUACUGUACUUAAGUAGAAAUUUGGGGUAUCUAUACUUUACUUG